rnacentral:rRNA from 1 species
CACGUAGGGUGCGAGCGUUGUCCGGAAUUAUUGGGCGUAAAGAGCUCGUAGGCGGUGUGUCGCGUCGGCCGUGAAAACCUGGGGCUUAACUCUGGGCUUGCGGUCGAUACGGGCAUCACUGGAGUUCGGCAGGGGAGACUGGAAUUCCUGGUGUAGCGGUGAAGUGCGCAGAUAUCAGGAGGAACACCGGUGGCGAAGGCGGGUCUCUGGGCCGAUACUGACGCUGAGGAGCGAAAGCGUGGGGAGCGAACAGG